AGAGUUUGAUUAUGGCUCAGGAUGAACGCUAGCUACAGGCUUAACACAUGCAAGUCGAGGGGCAGCAGAUCGAAAGCUUGCUUUGAUGCUGGCGACCGGCGCACGGGUGAGUAACGCGUAUCCAACCUUCCCUAUAGUAGAGGAUAGCCCGGCGAAAGUCGGAUUAAUACUCUAUGUUUUCCAAUGCAGACAUCUAAGUUGGAACAAAGGUUUACCGCUAUAGGAUGGGGAUGCGUCUGAUUAGAUAGUAGGCGGGGUAACGGCCCACCUAGUCGACGAUCAGUAGGGGUUCUGAGAGGAAGGUCCCCCACAUUGGAACUGAGACACGGUCUAAACUCCUACGGGAGGCAGCAGUGAGGAAUAUUGGUCAAUGGGCGAGAGCCUGAACCAGCCAAAGUAGCGUGCAGGAUGACGGCCCUAUGGGUCGUAAACUGCUUUUAUCGGGGGAUAAAGUGAGGGACGUGUCCCUUUUUGUAGGUACCCGAUGAAUAAGGACCGGCUAAUUCCGUGCCAGCCGCAGC
rnacentral:rRNA from 1 species